rnacentral:tRNA from 1 species
GGACCAUUAGCUCAGCUGGUUAGAGCAAAUGGCUCAUGACUAUUCGGUCGAUGGUUUGAAUUCAUCAUGGUCGA